rnacentral:lncRNA from 1 species
UCUCUCCACAGGAUUCUGAGGCUCUGGAAAGGGGGCAGCAACCUGACCUGAGUUGGGUGAAUCACCCUGGGCUCUCUGAGUUUUCAGAACUAAUAUUUGGCGACUCCAAGGCCAGGGAUAAAAAUGAAGAGAUGGAGAGACAAGAUUUCCUGGCCUCUAAUUGGCAGCACCCGUUGACUCUGCUCGUGACCAGACUCAUGAACGCUUCAUCCAAGGUUUCAUGUCAUCCGUGUGAGGAACCUCUCUGAUUUGAGAAAAUCUUUCUUAAAAUGGGCUUCUAGUUGUAAAGCCAUUGUCUUUUUAGGAAAUCAUCAAAUACCUUAAAGCUAGACACGCAAUCAGCUGCAUAAAUGACACACUCACUAAAUCAAUCCUUUAUCAGGUGGUCCUUCAAGGAUUUCUUGGUUUUGGGUUUUGAAAUGUGUAAGGUUUGCUGCUAGCAACUCCACAUUUUUUUAUUCACUCACAAAGACACAUGGUCAUAAAUAAAAUGCAUGGAACCAGCGAGACAAUAGCACAGCAGUAAUGUCAUUUUAUAUGCAGCAUGGCCCUGUUGUGAACGGAAUGAUUGUGAACGGAAUGAUGGCCAAGGAGCUUUAUGCUUCUGCACCGCCAGCUCACACGAUGGUCCGUGUAUUGCCCCGUGGAAAACCGGGGGUGGAAAGCUGUCUCCACGUUCUGCUGCCGAAGCAGCAAGCUGAUUCACACAUCUUGAAGGCACAGUGGAACAUGGAAGGGUGCAUAUGAGACUUGAUUUUGAGGAUGAAACUUCCUGUCUGAAUCGCUAAGUCUCCCAGCAGGGGUGUUAAUGUCCCUGUGAGAUGCAGGCUUCCCACAGACACACCCAGGUUGCGAGUGGGUUCAACAUGGUCACAGGAGCUUCAAAUGGUGAUCCUGAUGCUCAUGGCCAUGCAUUGAGAACAACUGUGUAAGAAGAUAUGGAUAAUGCUUGAAAACUACUAGUAUUAGCACCAUUUUGCAUAUACUCCAAGGAAGAUCUCAAUAAAUGCUUAAUGGAAAUAAGUAAAGGUAUGAAUGCUGGACCUAAUACAGGAGGAAGACCCAGGUGAUUUGUGUACAAUUUGGACACAAGCUCUUGCCAACCACCUGAGAGAUUCCAACAAUGAGAUGAGAUUCCUUACCUUGAACCAGAUAAUUUGGAAUGAAUGUCUAGGCAGAACUUCUGCUUCAGAAUGACCACAAUUAACUACCAGACAACCAACUUUGGGGACAUAUCAGUAGGUGCAGAGCAUUUAGAACUGGAAGGACCAUUUGAAAUACAUAGUUCAUCUCUCUCAUGUUACUGAGGAGGAAAACUGAAGUGCACGGAGGUAAAGUAACUCGCCCAGUAUCACAAUUUGUGUUUGUACCAUUGCUGAGGUGAGCACCUGGGCCUUCUAACCCCAAA